GGAGAGAUGUCUGAGUGGCUGAAGGAGCACGCCUGGAAAGCGUGUAAGUGGGCAACUGCUUCCGGGGUUCGAAUCCCCGUCUCUCCGCCA
rnacentral:tRNA from 1 species